CCGGCACGGGUGAGUAACACGUAUCCAACCUGCCGUCUACUCUUGGCCAGCCUUCUGAAAGGAAGAUUAAUACAAGAUGGCAUCAUGAGUCCGCAUGUUCACAUGAUUAAAGGUAUUCCGGUAGACGAUGGGGAUGCGUUCCAUUAGAUAGUAGGCGGGGUAACGGCCCACCUAGUCUUCGAUGGAUAGGGGUUCUGAGGGGAAGGUCCCCCACAUUGGAACUGAGACACGGUCCAA
rnacentral:rRNA from 1 species